rfam:Schizophyllum commune H4-8 unplaced genomic scaffold SCHCOscaffold_9, whole genome shotgun sequence.
GGCCGCCUGGCGUAAUGGCAACGCGUCUGACUACGACGCUGUAAUCAGGAGAUUGCAGGUUCGACCCCUGCGGUGGUCA